AGCAGCCGCGGUAAUUCCAGCUCCAAUAGCGUAUAUUAAAGUUGUUGCAGUUAAAAAGCUCGUAGUUGAAUUUCGAGAUCAAAUUGUUGGUCGUGCCUUGGUACGCACUGGCAUUAUUGGUUUCUCCCUUCUGACGAACCAUGAUGUCAUUAAUUUGGUGUCUUGGGGAAUCAGGACUGUUACUUUGAAAAAAUUAGAGUGUUUAAAGCAGGCUCACGCUUGAAUACAUUAGCAUGGAAUAAUGAAAUAGGACGUUUGAUUCUAUUUUGUUGGUUUCUAGGAUCGACGUAAUGAUUAAUAGGGAUAGUUGGGGGCAUUAGUAUUCAAUUGUCAGAGGUGAAAUUCUUGGAUUUAUUGAAGACUAACUACUGCGAAAGCAUUUGCCAAGGAUGUUUUCAUUAAUCAAGAACGAAAGUUAGGGGAUCGAAGACGAUCAGAUACCGUCGUAGUCUUAACCAUAAACUAUACCGACUAGGGAUCGGAUGAUGUUAAUUUUUUUAAUGACUCAUUCGGUGCCUUA
rnacentral:misc_RNA from 1 species